UUACAAAAUAUAAAGAGUCGAGCCUGCCCAGUGAUAAAAUUUAACGGCCGCGGUACUCUGACCGUGCAAAGGUAGCAUAAUCAUUUGCCCUAUAAUUGAGGGCUAGUAUGAAUGGUUUGACAAGAGUAAUUCUGUCUCUAUAAAAUUUUAUAGAACUUGGUUUUUAGGUGAAGAAACCUAAAUAAUAUUGAAAGACAAGAAGACCCUAUCGAGCUUAAAAAAAUUUUACUGAUUAAAUAUAAAAAUCAUUUCAAUAAAAAAUUUUGGUUGGGGCGACUAAGGAACAUAAAAAGCUUCCUUUUUAUUAUAAAAACUGAUAAGUAUUGAUCCAAAAAAUUGAUUAAUAAAAUUAGUUACCGUAGGGAUAACAGCAUAAUCUUUUUUAAGAGUUCUUAUCGAAAAAAAGGUUUGUGACCUCGAUGUUGGACUAGGAUAUCCUGAAGAUGUAGAAGUCUUCAAAGGUUGGUCUGUUCGACCA
rnacentral:rRNA from 1 species